UACGGAGGGAGCUAGCGUUGUUCGGAAUUACUGGGCGUAAAGCGCACGUAGGCGGCGAUUCAAGUCAGAGGUGAAAGCCCGGGGCUCAACCCCGGAACUGCCUUUGAAACUAGAUUGCUAGAAUCCUGGAGAGGCGAGUGGAAUUCCGAGUGUAGAGGUGAAAUUCGUAGAUAUUCGGAAGAACACCAGUGGCGAAGGCGACUCGCUGGACAGGUAUCGACGCUGAGGUGCGAAAGCGUGGGGAGCAAACAGG
rnacentral:rRNA from 1 species